rnacentral:misc_RNA from 1 species
UACGUAGGAGGCUAGCGUUGUCCGGAUUUACUGGGCGUAAAGGGAGCGCAGGUGGCCAAGUUCGUCGGUGGUGCAAGCUCCAGGCUUAACUUGGAGAGGUCUGCCGAUACUGCUUGGCUUGAGGACGGUAGAGGAGCACGGAAUUCCUGGUGUAGUGGUGAAAUGCGUAGAUAUCAGGAGGAACACCGGUGGCGAAAGCGGUGCUCUGGGCCGUUCCUGACACUCAGGUGCGAAAGCGUGGGGAGCAAACAGG